rnacentral:rRNA from 1 species
AAACUAACAAGGAUUCCCCUAGUAGCGGCGAGCGAAGCGGGAAGAGCUCAAAUUUAUAAUCUGGCACCUUCGGUGUCCGAGUUGUAAUCUCUAGAAGUGUUUUCCGCGUUGGACCGCACACAAGUCUGUUGGAAUACAGCGGCAUAGUGGUGAGACCCCCGUAUAUGGUGCGGACGCCCAACGCUUUGUGAUACACUUUCGAAGAGUCGAGUUGUUUGGGAAUGCAGCUCAAAUUGGGUGGUAAAUUCCAUCUAAAGCUAAAUAUUGGCGAGAGACCGAUAGCGAACAAGUACCGUGAGGGAAAGAUGAAAAGCACUUUGGAAAGAGAGUUAACAGUACGUGAAAUUGUUGGAAGGGAAACGCUUGAAGUCAGACUUGCUUGCCGAGCAAUCGGUUUGCAGGCCAGCAUCAGUUUUCCGGGGUGGAUAAUGGUAGAGAGAAGGUAGCAGUUUCGGCUGUGUUAUAGCUCUCUGCUGGAUACACCUUGGGGGACUGAGGAACGCAGUGUGCCUUACGGCGGAUUUCUCGAGAUCUUCACACUUAGGAUGCUGGUGGAAUGGCUUUAAACGACCCGUCUU